rnacentral:misc_RNA from 1 species
AAAAAGUGAAAUCCAUCAGGAAGAUGAUAAACCAAUCCCAAUCUAAAAUUCCAUUUCUCUAAAGUCUUACUAAGCCACAAAAAACAAAAACAAAAAAGAAGAUGAUUUACAUUAGUUGAAUUGUUGUUGUAGUUGGAGUAACAUUUUCUAUCUUUUCAUGAGAUAACACCAUCUGCUUGUCAUUAUUCUUCAACUCAGAAUUACUCAAAUUAACUUUGGCUGUAGGGACAGCAGAUGCCAGUGUUGGUGUCCAUAACUGUGCAUUUUUUACCUUGGAAAUGCUUGCAAGAACUCCUAAUGGUGUCACAUCCCCAGUUACUGUCACCUUCUUAGCAGCAAAAUCUAUGUUGAAAGAUUUCACACCUUGCAUUCUAGAGAUGUGUUUUCUCAUCUUCUUUUCACAUCCUCUGCAGUGAAGUGAAACUCUAAGAACAACCACCUGAUUAACAGAAGCAGAAGGUGGAGGACAAGAUUGAUCUGUCUCUGUUUUCACAUCUUCUGCUACAGAGCUACUACUACUAGAAUCAACCAAUUUGAGAACAGGUUCAAAAUCUGAUAAAGCAUCCAAAAUAUUCUUCUCACUCAAAAGAUAUCUAGAUGAACCAGGUGGAGUUAUAAAUUCACCAGGCUUUUUACAACUCCAACUACUUGUCUUAAAAAUAUUCUCAUUUCCUUCACUAACACUGCUCUUCCUUUUCUCAUCAUCCUUCUCUAUCAGUAAUUUUUUCGAUCUCUUCGAUUCUUUCGAAGUUGAUUUUCUGCUCUUGCUAUGUGGUUUUGGAGGAAUUGGUGAACGAGCAGAGCAAGGUGCAGAUAUUGAUUUAGGACCUGUUCUUCGUGAAUCUCUUAUUAUUGGAUUGUACCGAUCAAUUGUGCGGCUGCCGGAGAUGCUUCCGCCGCCGAGUUGUAUAACAGAGGAGGAGGAAGAAGAAGAGCCUAAUUCUUCCAUGCUAAGGCAUAUUGCUGUAGCAGCUUGGGAUGCACAGAACAUAUCUUUCAUUUUUU